rfam:Triticum urartu cultivar G1812 contig653581, whole genome shotgun sequence.
AACAUACUCCCUCCGUCUCAAAAUUCUUGUCUUAUAUUUGUUUAGAUAUCUAAACAAAUUUAAGACAAGAAUUUUGGGAUGGAGGGAGUACAUG